GUCUAUAGCCAUACCACCCUGAAUGCACCUGAUCUCAGAAGCUAAGCAGGGUCGUGCCUGGUUAGUACUUGGAUGGGAAAAUAGCUAGUACAUUUCUAUCUUCCUAAUGACAAUCAAUUGUUCCUGUAAAUC
rnacentral:rRNA from 1 species